UAAUAUAAUUAAUUUGUAUGAUGAGAACAGUUUUGUUUAGAAAAAUAGUUCAAUUAACAACUUUUGGAGAGUGACACUGUGGAAGUAAGUAAGGGCCAAUCAAAUACUCUAACGCCAUUGGUACGACGACGAACAGGCAGCACCCUCCAAUCGGCGUACAUUUCUUCGAUCUUUUUCGGCGGCAAGGUAUUUUCUCUCUCUGUUCAAUGCCUCACAAUCGAAAAUAUUCGUCAUUUCUUCCAUAAUUUCAUUCAAUUUACCCGUUUCUGGAUAAGUUUUGUAUGGACGAGAAGGUGAAUUUGAUUGGACUCGGUUGACUGCUCUUGUGGUGGGUGAAAAAAAUGUAUGCGAGCUUUCUCCUGUCCCGUUAAUCGACUUUCACACAUUUUUGAAGAAGAAAUUCGGCGAUUUUAGCUUUGAUUGGUCGCCUGGUUCUAUUGAUUCAUUUGGAAAUUUACUUCGUUGUCUUCUUGUGAUGUGAUUAGGAUGGCAAUGUGCUCAUAUGGGUUAAUUUUUUUUUCCUGAUUUUCUUCCAUAUCAAGGCAUAGGUUUUCCAUGUCAGGCCAUUAUAGAAGCUUGCAGGAAAGUGUUAAGGUGUGACUGGAAAAGUGGAGUGGAGCAUCGUUUACUUGCUUUUUGCUGUAGUUUUCUUUUCCCAACUAGACAAAGCAGUACGUGGCAAUAUUAUUCUAUGAGUACUUCUGUUGUUGAUUUAACUUUGACAUCUUUUUUUUCCUGAUUUUAAUUCAUAUUGUCUGCCAAUUGGGAACAUGAACUGUUGUUUGGAUUUAAAUAAGCCGCUCAUUCCCUUUGGACUGGAAAGGCGUCUUUUAAGAAUAAGUGAAGGUUCUUUGGGCUGUUAUGAUUAUAUAAAUCAUCCGAAAAUUACUUUAGAAGUUUCGUUUAUUGAAUUGGCUCCUCCAUUUUGAAAAGGAAAAUUCUGUUUUUAUAGAAAUAUUGAAUAGUUAUUUAAUGCCAUUGACAAGACCAUUGGUUCUCUUAUGUGUUUAUUUUGAAAUGAACAAUUCUUUAGGAUUUUCUUUGUCCCUGUGCAUUCUUCGGUAUUUUUGGUUAUCAUGUUUUUUACUGUAUGAGGUCCAAGUUAUAGUUCUAUCCUAGGAUAUUUUUCAUUUUAUUGGAUAUCAGCUGAGGCAUCUUGAUGCAUCUAUGCUAAGAGAACUAACAGUUGUCUGGCCUGGUCUUAGGGAACCAAAAAAAGAAAAAAAAAAAAGGCAAAUAUAGUCCUUAUUCACCUCUUUCUCAUUGCUGUUGGCCAUGCAUCUCGAUUCCUCAAAACUUUGCUUAGCUGCGUACUUUGGUGAUAUGUGAAGUAUCAAUAUAUGGCAAAAAGAAAAUGGAUUGCACAAGGAUUCAAAGUGGGGGAUCGCAAUUGGCUCCACCUAUGAUACCUUCCUUUCCUUUACCCUACACCUACAGAAACGGGCCUUCAGCUACUGCAAUUACCUCAUUCCUUCCACUUUCUGUCACUUGCCUUAGAUUUUUAUCUAUCUCAAUCUGGCUUCUUCUAUUUUGUCUUUUAUGACUAACAGCUGCAUAAAGGAAGAAAAAGGAGUGGUAUUGGAUUAUUUUUUGCGAUGGGCUUCAUUGGCUGUAAGUGGUAUACAAUGUAGGAUUUGUAACAUGCUUGUUAUGGUAAGAAAAUUGAUCAUUGUAAUAGUUGGUGCAUGCUGCAUGUUGAGCUGCCUGUGUGAUUGAUAGCCGUGGGAUCUCGUGUAACUUACAUUUCUUGACAGCAUGUUGAAUUACUAAGAUAGACGUUAAGAGAGGGUGUUCGGGUUACAGGGUGGAUUUGACAGUGGGGAGGAGCCUACAUACCAUAUGUGGGCUUAUUUAUCAUAUAUUAUGAAUUGGUAAAUACUAUGAACUGUAUAAUCUCCGGGUUGAUUCACAAAUUUUUACACUUCACAAAUGCACAAACAAAUAUACACCAGAUAAUUGUCAAUUACUUUGCACAAUUCUCAUCAUCUCUAACCUGUUAGCCAAGUGUAAGAUGUAUGCAACACGCCCAAAUCCAAGAUUUGGAAUGUGAUUUGAAAUUUAUUCCUCUUUAAUACUAUAUACAAUGCCCUUGAACUAGUUAGAAUAUGGAGUUUGAAUACAGAUUUUAAUCCUAGGUUCGAAAGUGUUACAAAUGAUAUUGGAGAGAAAUCUCCGAAUGAGAGAACCUAUGUUGGUGCAUGAAGAAAACUUUUAUUCUUGAAACUUGUUCGUGUCCAAUAAUGACCUAGCCAGGUCAUAAUAGACGCGGAAAUAUAAGGGUUAAGUUACGAAUCUGGAUUUCAAAUCCAAACAUCCACUCAUUUUUCCUUUUUGUGUUCAGUCUAGCACAAGAUAUAUCAAUAUCUACGUACCAAGAAGCAGAGCAGUGGUGCCCAAAUAUGUCAUAUUCUCUCUCUACUUUAGUCACAUUAAAAAAACGAAAAACAAAGGAAGUUGAUUUUGUCUGAUAUUUGGAAAGCUAUGUGAAAACAAGCAUAUGUAAGAAGGUUCUUUCUUUUUGGCCAAAAGCUCAUUGUAUUACAUAAAGUACUAUUUAGGUGCUGUUCUUUUUGUGAAGUAACCAAAGGACAAGGCUGAAGCAGGCAAAAUCAGAAGUUGGAAGAAGCUGCUUGGAAGCAAAACCAAGUUACUUUCUUCCAAGGCAACAUUGACAACAUAUAGACAAUUACUUAUCCUCAUCAACUUCCAAUUUUCUUUUUUAUAUUUAUGAGAUAUAUUUCCUACUAAAUGUAAUUGUCUAAACAAGAAUUCUCCUUAUACAACGAGACAACUUGUUUGACGUACUUUAUUUAUUCAUUAUGAUCUGAAAGUGUUAUCAAACAAAUGGUUUGAGUUCU